GUUGAGACAAAUGCUAUUUGAAUAACAAAUACCUAUGGUAUUGGAAAAAUUGUCAUGAAUCUGAUAGUGUUUCCAUUCCAGCACCAAUUUCCCAGUCUUCAAAGUGUGGCAGGGAGCUCAAUCCGUGACAAGAUGUUUGGGACAGUCAAAACAUUGCCCCAAGCGGAAUGCCGAGACCUGGGCAACCCAAUUCCUUUCAUGAGGGCCCCUCAUGAAUAUGAUGAAAAUGAUAUAAUGAUGAAGUGCAUCAUUUAAUAAGUGAAGAUGCCUGGUGAGCGAGGGAGAGGACAAGGACGGGUGAGGAGAGGAGGUGGUCGAGGGGCAAGAAGAAUUCUCAACUUUUCACCCACCGCCCAGCCCGAGCCCCAAAGGUGUACCAGUGGAAGCUCCUGCACCACGUCUUUAAGGACCACCUUGUGAUGCUGAACCCGGUGCACCUUUCCCUACAAGUGCACCGUCUGUACGGCCACAUUCGCAUAUGUAUACAAACAGUUCGAGAAUGACGUCUACAGCUCUCACUCUGUCGUCGCCAAGAAGAUUAUGGAGUCGUUUGGCCGUAGGAAGGCAGCUGCGGCGGCGGCCGCCACCGGACAGCCCAUCAAAAUCAACAACGAGAUCACAAUUCACAAUCAUCCCUCACACGGGCUCGGGCGGUGCGGCAAAGGGCUCGUCUCAGGCCAGCUCGACGCCGGUGAAGCGGCGGCGACCGGAGUCGGCGCCGGCUCCCGUGGAGCGUGAGUGCGAGCUGUGCGAGCAUCGCGCGCUGCCGUGGUGCAGCCGCGGCCGCUGACGGAGCACUACCUCGCCUGCACCAGGGCCGGCCAGAGCUCGAGUUCACGCCGCUGAUGCGCGACCCCAAGUGCGCCACCUUCGUCACAGAGGAGAUCUGCGAGCAGCUGCGCCGGCGCGCCGCCGCCGAGGACUCCGACAGUGGGGUCGAGGUGGAGGUGAGUGACGCGAAGGACGGCGCGGCCGGCGGCGCCCCGUCCGCCUCCGGUGGCAGCGCGCUCAGCAAGCUCAACGAGGAGACUCACGCCUAUUGCCGCGGCGCGGCCCCGCCGGCUGGUGACCGUCCGGAAACCCAAGCCGUUCAUGGGUGACUGAGUGAAACGAAUGGACGUGCAUGUGCGUUUUUGUUCUGUGUAUGCGUGCGUUUGGAAAUGGCGUCUCUAUGUGCGUGCUUGUUUUGUAGAAGCGCUAGCGGUGCCGACGGACCCAGCGAUGGCGCGGAGGGCUUUGAUGUACCGUGUGUCUUUGAUGUUGAUGCAUUCUCGUGUUUUGUUGGUCGCGCGCCCAGCAGCACCGUGUACAUAGCCGGGAGCGUUUCUGCUCGACGCCACGUUCUGUUCGUUGUAUCUCAGUGCCAGCUUUUUGCUCCAAGUCCCGCUCGUGGAACACGCGACUCGCUCGAUUCAAAUAAUAAAUAUAC